rnacentral:rRNA from 1 species
UGGGGAAUAUUGCACAAUGGGCGAAAGCCUGAUGCAGCAACGCCGCGUGAGUGAUGAAGGUCUUCGGAUUGUAAAGCUCUGUCUUUUGGGACGAUAAUGACGGUACCAAAGGAGGAAGCCACGGCUAACUACGUGCCAGCAGCCGCGGUAAUACGUAGGUGGCGAGCGUUGCNCGGAUUUACUGGGCGUAAAGGGUGCGUAGGCGGAUGUUUAAGUGAGAUGUGAAAUACCCGGGCUUAACUUGGGUGCUGCAUUUCAAACUGGAUAUCUAGAGUGCAGGAGAGGAGAAUGGAAUUCCUAGUGUAGCGGUGAAAUGCGUAGAGAUUAGGAAGAACACCAGUGGCGAAGGCGAUUCUCUGGACUGUAACUGACGCUGAGGCACGAAAGCGUGGGUAGCAAACAGGAUUAGAUACCCUGGUAGUCCACGCCGUAAACGANUGAGUACUAGGUGUAGGAAGGUAUCGACCCCUUCUGUGCCGCAGUAAACACAUUAAGUACUCCGCCUGGGAAGUACGAUCGCAAGAUUAAAAC